rnacentral:rRNA from 1 species
AUGGGAAGCCAGGCCUUAGGAGCAAGGGCCGAUGGGUGGCACGAGGACCUCGACAGUGUAGCGGCGCCUACUGGUUCUAUAGGUUACUCUCUCUCCCUUGCUCUCUCUCUGCCUCGAUCCCAAUCUUACCUCUACUCGUUGUACCAUGCACAUCAUGAAGACCGACUGAUUAUGGAGGUGACUGUCCCAUCCACGACAAGCAUAGAGGACCCAUGA